UGCCAGCCGCCGCGGUAAUACGGAGGGUGCAAGCGUUAUCCGGAAUCAUUGGGUUUAAAGGGUCCGCAGGCGGACGUAUAAGUCUGUGGUGAAAUCCUGCAGCUUAACUGCAGAACUGCCAUUGAUACUGUACGUCUUGAAUUCGGUCGAAGUGGGCGGAAUGUGUAGUGUAGCGGUGAAAUGCAUAGAUAUUACACAGAACACCGAUAGCGAAGGCAGCUCACUAGGCCUGGAUUGACGCUCCGGGACGUAAGCGUGGGGACCAGUCCGGAUUGGAUU
rnacentral:rRNA from 1 species